UGGAUACGUGUGGUGGUCCUCCGUCAUGAAGAAGUGCCCCAAAAAGUAGCAUGGCUUCAAGUGCAAACAGACUAUGCACAGAUCCAUGACAUCAAAAUGAAGAUACAUUAUGUGCAAGGCCUGGAGAGCACUAAAAUUCUUCCUUCAAACAUGUAUAAUAUAAUUCAUGCAUGGCUUGGGGACUUUCACAGAAGCUCACAUAAGUUGAACUUGUGGACGUGGACGUUGGUGAUGAGGACGUGGAAUGGCUGGCGAGUGACAUGUCUCUGCAGGUAGUUGACAACAAGUUCUCGGAUUCGCGAACAGGAACCGGUAUCUGUCAACAGGUUGGCAAGGAGAAGCAAUGUUGUCAUCCCUCAAAGGCUAUAAAGUCUUGCUUGAUUUGUUGUUGGAUUGAUCGGUGUGGGCUAGAAAGAGGACAGUGUUUCAUGCAAUUGCUAGCUUAUUCAUGCAUAUGGAUCAUAUUUAUGUUUGCUUUUAUAUGAGGUCCUACGGUGCCUAGAUGUGUGGUUUAAUUGUGCCGCUACGUAAUUUUGAUACUUCAGUCAACCUAUGCUUGUUAUGGAGUGCUCCAUCACGAGAUAAAAAGCAAGAAGUGUCAUGUGGCUUAUCCAUACAUAUUCUUCUUCUUUUUUUAUUUCCCUUUCCGUGGCCUUUGUAGUGCCUAAAUGCCUAAAUGGCUGCAACAAAGUGUAAUUGCUAUGUCGAGGUACAUUGUAUGCAUGAUCAACCUUGUUUACGAGUGCUCGAUCAUGAGAUGAAAAUGAACCCAAAUUACAUAAGCCGGCACAACUAAAACCACUCAUUUAGAGCAUUUCCAACGGCAUAUCCAUAUUUGCCCAGAAUACCCAAAAACUGCCAAUUUAGGUGCUUUGCCUCAAAAACAAGCUCCAACAGCAUUACCCAUAUUUGCCGGAUACCCAAAUUUUUUUUGAUAGUUACCCAUAUUUUAGCCCCCAAUACCUAAAUAUGGGUAUUCCCACAUCUAGAACAUGGGUAGCUACCCGUAUCCACGCGGGAAGCCAACCGCCAAGAAACGGAAAUUUCAGCCCCUCACUCCUCCACCGACGAGCUGCCGUCGACCCUGAUGCCGGCCACUGCUGCCGCCAUGGUGCUCGCCGGCGCCGUCCCAGCAUUCCUCGGAGUCGCUCCUGAAGUGUUCGCCACUCCCGCGACGUCCGCCGCCCCCGUGGUGAAGCCGACGAUGGCCGGCCCCUGAUCCGCCCCGGCAGCUCCCCUCCCUCGCCCCUUCCGGCCGUCGAAGGCUCCGGCAGCCUUCCCAAACCUUUUGCCGCACCGCGCCGCCAUCCAGCUCUGCCUCGCACCGCGUCGCCACCGCCAGCCCGCGCCCCUCCGCGAGAUCUGCCGCGCGCCCCGCCGUGAGCCGCGUCGAGCCGCCGCCUGUGCGCUCUCCUCCCCGCGUCGUAUCGUCCUUCUCGAGCAGGACUGCUCCGGCCGCCACCUGCGCUAUCCUCCCCGCGUCGCGUUGUCCUCGACGAGGAGGCAUGCUCUGGCCGCCGCCUGCGCUCUCCUCCUUGCACACUGCUAUGCCCCGCACGUCGCCGGAGGAGCCAUGCCGGGCCAGGGCGUCGUCCGCGCCCGACAAGGUCCAGCCAUGCCGGCUCCUGCCCUAUUUGGGGAUCGAUUUGGGAUUGUGAUUUGGGGAAGAAGAAGGUUGACUCAAUGACAGGUGGGGGCCGCUAUGAAUUGGUAGAUUUGGGUACCCGGUUUUGGGUUUGCCGGAAAAGUUGGAGCCAAUUUGAAUUUGGGUAUCCAAAAUAUGGGUAUGCUGCUGGAGAUGCUCUUAGGCACCGUAACCGUAAGAGCAGUAGAAUAGAAAACGAAAAUAGGAUGCGCAUCCUUGAAUAAGCUAGCAAUAACUGAAACAUCAUCCUUUUCCUAUAAAAGGAAGACCAACCCAAGCCUACCACACCGAUCAAUCCAACAACAGAUCAAGCAAAUAUUUCUAUUCCUUGAGGGAUGAUGAAAUCGAUUCUCCUUGCUAGCUUGCCGGUAGGAUUCCGGUUCCAACCCACGGACCGAGGAACUCACCAUCAACUAACUGUUGAGACGCGCCACUGGCCAGUUGUACCAAGUCCACAUCGCCAAUGUCAACAUUCACAAAUUCAACCCAUGCAAGCUACCACCCAUGGUGUUAUUUCGGGAUCAUGAGUGCUACUUCUUCAUGCGAGGAACCACCACAAGUAUCCCAAAAGUCUACGCCCCACCCAGUGGGCGGUUUACGGCUUUUGGGAGGUCACCGACAAGGACAAGCUCGUCUAUCUGCCAAGAACCAUGGAGAUGGGAUCGUGAACCUUCAUCCCAUUGUCGUCAAUUGGUGCUUGUCUUCUACCUUGGUCGCUCGCCUACUGGGAGAAAGACUCCAUGGAUGAUGCACGAGUAAUGCCUCCUGGAUCCCAUUCCCUCUAUUGGCAUGCCCAUCGAAUGGGCUUGUGCAAGAUCUUUAGGGAGACGGAAAUGAUGGUCACACCCCCGCCGCUCGGGCCAAGGUCAACAAAAAUCUAAUAGCUACAAGAGGGCCUACAAGACAUAACAAUGUAUGAUGCCUCGGACAUGAUGUACUCUAACACACUCCUCGUCAUCACGAAUAUGAUGUCUAACAAUAACUGGUAUCUCUACAACUAACAGAUGUGAGUCAACGACGACAUCGGAGCAAUCUCUGAAGUCAUUAUUGGUGGUGUUUACACUAUUGCUUGAUUGUGUUAGUUUGCUUGUGUUAUCCAUAUCAUGUAAUUUAAGGUUGAAAUUUAUUUGGUUGCCUCAAAUUUAAAUUUUCCUAUUUAUGUACUUUUCCAUCUAAAUAUCUCACUACAACGAAGGCAACCUCCUCGGUGGCAUGGAAGGGCAGCAGAGGAGCCAACGGCAAGGAGGUUUCUUUUCUUUCUUUUUUUCCUUUUUGUUUAUGUCCAUGACGCCAACAUGCUAGUUCACGAUCCUAAGAGAGGGAUUAUGAUUUCUUACCUUCCAUGUGUUUUGAUUGAGAAGUUGGAUUUUUUCAAUUUUUUGGAGUUUCAUGAUUACACAGAUUUAAUGGUUGUCAUUAGUUUUAAGAGGAUCCACCGAAUUAAUGGUGAUUAUACAACUUGCACUCCCUCGCAAUCCUAGACAUGGAUUCCAGAUCCAGCGAUCAAAAUAAUUUGGGACAGACUGGAUUAUCAACAUGGUGGCUCGAAUCGAAGGGAACCCUCGAAUUGUGCUUUUGGUAUGUAAUAGAAUAGACUUGGACAAAGAAGCACGUAGCAAGUAGAUAGCAUGCUUUAAACUUGGAGAAACAUUCAAACUUGUACAGUAGAAGAUAAGAUGCUGUAAAUAAAAGCACAGAGGUAACUUUUGGAGGAAAGGAUGGGCAUCCCCAAUGAAGAUCCAUAUAGCACAUCCACUUUGUCAAACAGUCAAAUUACAAUUAAUUCAAGAGUAGUCUAUGAUCAUACAGAAUCAGAAAACGUACAUUGUUCUUAAAUUUAACCAGGAGGCCAUUUCAUCUGCCUUCCGCCGAGUACAUGCACGUGCAGAUGAUAGACCGAUUGA